UCUAGCAUGUUGCAGACUGCUGGUUGCUAACCCAAACCCUGUCAGUGUGGAUGAUAAGGAGAAAAUCAUCAAGAAUUUCAUGCAGUGGUACAUAAUUUACCGCAACCAUUUCUCAAUCCAAAGGUAAUGGGUCUGCCUUAUUUUUUUCGGCAUUUUGUGCCUUUAUUGAUAGGACAGUGUAUAGUCUUGUGAAAGAGGGUGAGAGAGUAGGGGAAGACACUCUGCAAACUGGUCACAGGCAGGAUUCAAACCUGGACCGGCAGAAGCAAGUAUAUGGGGUGCCUGGUUGCUAACCACUCCGCCAAACCAGCAUCCCACGUGUCCGCCUUAUUUGACCACAGUUAAAGAUUUACAUUCAUUUGUUUCAAAACAAAUUCAUGUAACAGAAGUUAUCAGCAGCAGGCUGGUAGAAUUACCAAGGUGUUAAAACUCUCACUGGCCAUUUGGCAUGCAAGUCUGACACCAUGAAUGAUUAAUAAUGAUGAUUAAUAAUGAUUGCUCUUAAUGUUUUCUAGAUUCAAGGAUGGGCUUUCAACACAGGGUGUCAUCUAUGCUUUGGAACAGCAUGCAUCUGUAUUCAGGCCCUUUAUGUGCUCAAGUGUAAAGAAGCUGACAUCUGCAACCCUGGAAGACAUCUUUGAGGUUCAGCUCAGUGAAAAAGGCAGCACAAGACGACAAGAGGAAACCAGAGCACUAGGAUUUUGGAGAGACUAUCUCCUUGAGACAGAAGAACAACAAACAGGGCUCUCCCUCCAGGACAUCUCGAUGUUUGCUACGGGACUGAACACACUGCCCCCUGCUGGAAUUCAGCCACAACCCAAGCUGAUUUUUCAGUCAACAUCUCGCUUCCCAGUCAGCAGCACCUGUGCAAACACAAUCAAAAUACCAAUGUCCAAGACUUAUGAGCAAUUUCAAAAAGACAUGGACUUUGGCAUACUAAACUCUCCUGGUUUUGGGCUUUGUUAUUUUGAAAUAUAGUAUCAGAAUGCAGAAAUUAUAAUGUUCUCUUUUAAGGCAGUUGUUAACAUCAUUUUGUUCUGUAAAGGUUUCGAUACACAGAUUCAAAGUUAGACUUACGUUUAAUUACAUAUUCGCCAUGUUCUUCAGUGUUAUAUAGUUCUCCACACACGAUUCCCAGGUCAAUGGCUGCAUCAGACCACUCUGUCUCUGUAGGGCUUCAAAGUGUGCCUGGAGAUGGUCAUCUCCACAUGGACUGCAGGUUGACUCAGUCAUAAACUGGCCCAACUCUUCAUGUGAAAUGGGGAACCCACAGUCAGUUCCACCAAACCUAGGGGUAAUUGUGCACUGCACAUCAGUCAGGUAUUUACAUAUUUUUUUCAGUCAACUGUAAUGUUGUUUAAUGCUGUAACCAGUUGUUAUACCGAAUUGUAGUUUGGAAAUAAACAAUUUUCUGUCACAAUGAA